rnacentral:lncRNA from 1 species
UUCCCGUUGUGGCUUAGUGGGUUAAGAACCUGAUGUAGUUUCCCUGAGGAUUUAGGUUCAAUCCCUGGCCUUGCUCAGUGGGUUAAGGAUCUGGUGUUGCUGCAAGCUGCUGUGUAGGUUGCAGAUGUGCUUGGAUCCAUUGUUGGCGUAGCUGUGGUGUAGGCCUGCAGCUGCAGCUUGGAUUUGAUCCCUGGGAUCUUCCAUAUCCCUGGGAACUUCUAUAAUGCUGCAGGUGUGGCCAUAAAACAAACAAACAAAAAAACCCUUUAAGCAUUGAAGUUUGAAAUAGCCUUAGUCUCUUUUUCAUUUUUCUAGAUAGAUUGUCAUUUUAUUGUUGCUUUCUUCUUUGAGUCAAGGAUUUCUAGAAAUGUGAUUUACAUUUCUGAUUAUUAUUUUAGGUGUUCAGUUUGUAUUUACAUCUAAAUCUUGAUUUAAAUUCAGAGAUUGUAACUUGUAAAGUAUUCUCAUUUUUAAAUGAGUAUGAUUUUUUUAAUGUAAGUAUAUGCUUUACUUAUAUAAAUAUUCUCUAGAGAUUUGAAUAACGGCAUCUUCUCUACUGAGGAAAGUUAGUCUGUUUUUCAUCUGCUAAAUUGAGUUUAUCGAUUUUUAAAUUCAGUUAUAUUAUGUUCUAUAUUCUGUUACAUUUGAUUAAUUCAGAGAGUGAUGUAUGGAGUAUUACAUUCUAAUCAUAUUUUUAUAGCUUCAUUAAAUUUUUAAAAUUAAAAAAAUUUUAAAUUGUUGAAAAAUAUUAGUCACAUAAAAACUUAGUCCUCUUAACUAAUUUUAAGUAUACAGUUCAGUAGAGUUAAGAAUGUUCACAUUUGGAAUUCCCAGUGUGGCACAUUGGAAACGAAUCUGACUAGUGUCCAUGGGGAUGUGGGUUCGAUCCCUGGCCUUACUUAGUGGGUCAGGGAUCUGGCAUUGCUGUGAGCUGUGGUGUGGAUCGCAGACGUGGCUCGGAUCCCACUUUGCUGUAGCUGAGGUGUAGGAUGGCGGCUACAGCUCCGAUUUGACCCCUAGCCUGAGAACUUUCAUAUGUCCCUAGUCUGGGAACUUUCAUAUGCCACCAGUGCAGCUCUUAAAAAAAAAAAUAAAAUAAAAAAUAAAAAGAGUAUUUAUAUUGUUGUACCACACAGCUGCAGAACUUUUUCGUCUUGUAAAACUGAAACUCUCUCCCCAUCGAAGUAUUCCCCAUUCCCCCUUUCUGCAAUCCCUGGCAAGCAACAACCUUACCUGCUGGGUCUUUGAAUUUGACUAAUUAGAUACCUUGUAUAAGUCAAAUCAUGUAUUUGUCUGUUUAUGUCUGGCUUAUCUCAAUUAGCAUGGUGUCCUCAUCCAUAUUAUAGGACAUGUCAGGAUUUCUUUUUUCUUUUUUUUUUUUUUUUGAGAUUGAAUAAUAUUUCAUUGUAUGUGUACAACAUGAACGUGGAUGUUUGGAUGACUUCUGAAUCCCUGCUUUAAAUUUCUUUAGGAAUAAUGUAACCAGCAGUGGAAUUGCUAUAUAUUGUAGUAAUUCUCUGUUUAAUUUUUGGGGGACUUGCUAUACUGUUUGUCACAGCAGCCACACCAUUUUGCAGUUUCAUCAGAAAUGCACAAGGGUUCCAGUUUCUCCACAGCUUGGGUAAUACUUGCUAUUUUCAGGAUCGUUUUAAAAAAACAGCCAUUCUGAAGGGUUUGAAGUGAUAGUGCAUUGUGGUUUUAAUUUGCAUUUCCAUGAUGAUUAGUGAUGUUGAGCAUCAUUUCAUGUGCUUACUGGCCAUUUGUAUAUCUGCUUUGGAGGAAUAUCUGUUCAAGUCCUUCCCCCAUUUUUAAGUUGGAUUUUUGUUGUUGCUGUUGAGUGGUAGGAGUUCUUUAUAUGUUGUGGAUACUACCCUUGCAGGUAUAUGAUUUGCAAAUAUUUUUCUCUCAUUCUGUGAGUUGCCUUUUCAUUCUGUUGGUAGUAUUCUUCGAUGCACAGAAGCGCUCAGUUUUGCUUUAGUUCAUUUUAUCUGUUUUCUUUUCUUGCCUGUGCUUUUUGUGUCAUAUCCAAGAAAUCAUUGGCAAAUCCAUUAUCAUGAGGCUUUUCUCCUGUGUUUUAUUUUUAAAGCCUUAUAAUUUUAUGACUUCAUUAACUUUCCUUGUAUAUUUACAUGUAUAUAUUUUUUGCAUAUAACUCCCUGACUCUUAAAUAUUAUCCUUUUUUGUAUUGAAUGACUUUAAAAUUAAAUUCAUCGUAGACUGAUACUACUAUUGCCAUUCUUUUUUUUUUUUUCCUUUUUGAAGACUUUGAAUGUAUCUGGUUUUACUAUACUAGUUGACUUAUUCUGUUAUUACCUUUUCCUUUUUUAAUUUGUUUUAAUUUUGUUUUAUAAUAUAGAGUAGUGUUUUUUUCCCAGCAUUUUUAAAACCCAUUUUUAUUAUCUCAGUUUUUUUGGUAGUCAUAUUUAGCAUAACAAUAACUAUCCCUAUGUUUUUCUUAAUUAUGACAUUUUACUCAUUUCUUCUUCAUUACAUUUGUAAAUUUAAUCAAAUUAUAUUUACAUCCUUUUAUUUCCUAUGUGAUCCCCUUUAAUUUGCAAAAUACACUGCACUUUGCUGUUUGACUAAUGGUCAGUAUUCCAACCCCAGCUUCAUGGUUAUAGCUCAGAUAAUGCUGAUGUGUGAGAAAGAAAAUGCACCAUUUCCUUAAGACACCUCUGACAAAAGUUUUUUUGUUGCAUACUGCCAUCACCAGAACAUUUUAACAGUAACAGAUACACAAAUAUACAGCAGAUACACAAAUCUCUGAUGUCUGCCGCGUGAAAGGCCCCUCUUAGAUGCGAUGCCACUGGUUGGAUGUAGCUUACGGUGGUAAGAAUAAAGAAAUAGAUUUUCCACUACAUCUUGCAGCCAAGUGACUGCCAUUUUUCUUCCAUUCUCUCUUUUGUGAGCUUUCAUUAUCCUGGUGUCCUGAUAUAGCGGGGUCCUAGGGAUGUUUUAUUCUAAGGAUAUGAGUCUGUGGACACAUUGUACUGCUAGCACUAUUUUCUAAUUUGCGAGAGAUUUCUAUUUUAAGAAUAGUUCAUUGCAGGUUCCCAUUGUGGCACAGUGGAAACGAAUCGGACUAGCACCCUUGAGGAUGCGGGUUCAGUCCCUGGCUUCGCUCAGUGGAUUAAGGAUCUGGCACUGCUGAGAGCUGUGGUGUAGGUCAUAGAUGCGGCUCGGAUCCCGCAUUGCUGUGAAUUGGUGUAGGCCGGCAGCUGCAGCUCCGAUUCGACCCCUAGCAGACGCAGCCCUAAAAAGCAAAAAAAAAAAAAGAAUGGUUUAUUGGUCUCUUCAGUUAAUAAUGCAAAUGUUGGACAGAAAAAUUAUUUCAGUCCUAAUGAUAGUUUAAAGAAGUUUUGAAAUUGUUAAUCCCAGUUUCUAACCUUAGCUUGAAAAUCCUAACAGUCUUUGAUCUCCGUAUCGUCAGAAUAUUUUCUGAAACGUCUUACUGUGACAUCAUCAACUCUGUGCUGGGAACAAUCAUAGUCAUGGAAAUCAACUAAUUCCCAUUGCGUGUUUAUAAUGUGCCUGGGAUUGUGUUUAGAUCUUGCCUUAGUUUGGUUGGGGUACCUUAGCACAAUGCUGCCGACUGAGUAGCUUAAGCAACAAACAUUUCUUUUCUCAUCGUUCUGGAGACUCGAAGUCCCAGACCAGUAUUGGUGCGACUUUCUUCCUGGGCUUUCUUCAUUGUUUGCGCUGUUUUUUAAAGUAACAUGGUCAACCUGAAGCUGCCAUGUCUCAUAUCGAGUAGUCUGUCUCUGUGGUGAAUGUAGAAGAUUUUUUUUUUUUUUAAAUCUUUCUUUGUCAUUUACUCUUCUGGCUCAGCCCCUCUGGCAACUCUUAGAGCAGGACCUGACACGUGUCCUGACACCACAGUUAGGAAGACUCUUUAUGCUCUGUGAUUGGGGUCAGCAAAAUUUUGCAUAAAGAGCCAGGAAGUAAUAAACAUUUUAGACUUUGCUGACCACAUAAGGUGUCUGUGUGUGUGUGUAUAUAUAUAUAUUUUUUCCACACACACGCACACACUUACAAGCCUUAUAUAUAUGUGUGUUGUGUAUAAAAUAACCCUUUAAGAGUGUAAAAACUCUUUUAGAGAGUAGGCCUUACAGAUAAGGGGCUCUCUUUGGUUUGCUGACUCUUGUUCAAUGAUAUAAUAAUAUCUUAACUUAGGGAUCCCUUCAUUUGAAAAGACAAUAAUUAUGAACAGCUUAAAAUCUGAACCAAGUUAUGACCGAUUGAACUUUAUAGCUUUCUAACCUCAAAGACUGAACAAGUCUAAA